rnacentral:tRNA from 1 species
GCCGAUAUAGCUCAGCCGGCAGAGCAGCUCAUUCGUAAUGAGCAGGUCGGAGGUUCGAAUCCUCUUAUCGGCA